UCCCUACGUACUCUUUCUGAAAAAAAUCUUUCUCUUUUGUAUUGAGAGUGCUAAUAACUCUGUGGUCCAUCUUUUUCUGGUUUAAUGGCAACAUGGAGCCGGUUUUCAUGGCUUUUUCACUUGAAACGACUGCCAGCAUUUAAGAAGAGAGACGUCCUCUUCUCCUUAUCACUGUUUCUCUCUCUUUUUGUGGCAUUGGCACUGCAUCAAAGGCUGGCAAGUUUUAUCAGAGCUUCUUUCUUCAAGUCUUAAUCUCUCUCAGGCUUCAAGUAAUUGGUUUCUUCAAAAAUGGAAUUUCCAGGACAUAUCAAUUGUUAUGCAUAUGCACUUCAAACAUGAACUUUCCAUUAACAACAUCAAGGGGCCACCCAAAGUUGGUUACGAAUGAGAUUAAAGUUACCUCAUCCACCAUCGUCAUCUUGAUUUGCAAUGCUGGCUUGCGGAUUCCUUACAUGCCAAAGCCCACCAACUUCAUCUGAGAGUUCAUCUACUGCUUUUACCAAAUCUUGAAUAACUUGAGUUAACCAUGAAAUAUCUUUGUGGGAUGCCAGUUUUGAGACACCGUAAGCUACUUUGAUACCAUUUGAUACAAAAUAGGGUUUAAUUCUUCUCAAAUCAACACUUCAAUUGGAAAAAACUAAGUCCUCUAAAACCCUUCAAUGACAUGUAUUUUUAUGCAAACUCAAAAUCCUACAAAGUUCUUACAAAAUCCUAGUUAUUCAUUCUAUUUAAUCCUAGCCAUCCAUUAUUAGCUUAAAAAUAGAUGACCAAGUCUACCCCUAACAAAAUCAUAAAUAAAAACUAAAAAUAAAAAGCAAAAAAAACAUAUUUUACAACUUAUUGAAACAUAAUAACCUAUAAUAAAAUAGUACCAAAAUAAGCCUUAAAAUCCCCAAAAUAUAUCCCUUAAUCCCCUUAAUUAAGAUUCAUAGAAAAACACAAAUCUAUCCAUCCCAUGACUGCAUCAUAAAAGAAUAUAGAGAAAAGAACGGAAUCAAUUAAUGAAGAACAUAGCACGGUUAGUUGUUCGAGGAUAUGUACAAGAGCUUGGAAAUGAUAAUAAAAAAAGUUGCUCCUAUUGCCAUGAUGAUUACCAUGCAUACUCAUUUACACUAGUAUCAAUUUCUGACUGUUGCUCAAUGGUAUAUGGACAUCUGAAAUGCAUUCCUUAAUGGAAACUUCUUAGAAGUUUGCAUUCCUCAGUCAUCACAGUUUGUUACUCAAGAUUCCUCUUUUGUUUGUGAACUUUGUGAAGCACUUUAAUCUCAGAAGUAUUUUUGAAGUGUUGUUCUUGCAACUGGCUUCAAUCAAAGUAAUUGGCAUCUCAUCAAUUGGAAAUAUGAAGCAAUAUUUGCAAGAACAAUUUCAUAUGAAGGACUUUGGGGAAGUUUUCGAUUUCCUUGGCCUCGUGAUUGAUUGUUCUACAUGUGCUAUUUGUAUCAGUCAACAAAGGUAUGCACCUGAUCUCAUUUCAAGUUCAAGGUUGACCGAUGUCAAAGUUGUUGACACUCCCAUGAAAUUAACUAUCAAAGCUUCCACUCAUGUUGGAGAUCCCCUUUAGCUUGUUGGCUUCUUUAUCUAUCUCACAAUAACAUGCCCAUAUAUUGCAUAUGUCAUCUGGUGGCUCAGUUUCUCUCCUAUCCUCUAUGACCUAAUAUCUAUAUUUCUCGCUAGAUCCGUCUUUGUGCUCGACGUACAUCUAAUUGUGGAUUGUUAAUUUCGUCCAUGUCUUCUUUAGAUCUUAUUGCAUAUGUGAAAGCUAAUUGUGUAGUUGAUCCUUAUUACAAUGCUAUAUGCAAUUGUAUAUCUCUUGGAUCAUUAUUUAUUUUGUGAAGGACUAAGAAAUAAGUUGAGUAAUGUGCUACAUCCUUUGUUAGCACUAGGCUUGUUUUGGUCCGUCCCUUUUUUGUGAAUUUGGUUACUCCAUUUGCAAUCCUAUCUUUAUAUGCAAAUCCAUCGAGAUUGCAUCUAAUAAAAUCUCUUAUGAGAAAACAAAGCAUAUUAAUGUAAGUUGCCAUUAUGUUCGUGAUUGCUGUCUUAAUUGUAAUUUCUCUCUCCCUUUUGUUUAUGUUCGUGAUUGCUGUCUUAAUUGUAAUUUCUCUCUCCCUUUUGUUUCUUUUACAAUGUGGAAGGGUGAUAUUUCCACCGAAUCAAAUACUCAAAAGGCAUAAUAUUUUAUUGUGGACAAACUGAAGCUGCACUCACAUUCACAUCAGCUAGGACUUGGGCCCAUUGAAGUUUACCAUCAUAUGUAUAUUGUCUAAUAUUGUGCGUUGACUCGUAGUUUGUUCUACAUACAGUAUGUUUACUUUAGUUAUACAACCAAAAUACAUAUUAUAUGUAAAACCUAUUAGGGUUUCAUUUUUUGCUCUUUCGAGAAUUGAUGCAAAAGUUAUUUUCCACAUAUUCUUUUCUUUCCUUAUCUUUCUUUGUGCACAUGAGUGGUCCGAGAUCCAAGGCUUCUGCUCUCCCAGUGCAUCCAAGCAAAAGCCUCUCCAGAUUUAUCUCCCUCUCAAAUCUAUUGAAUGUGAAAUGCAUGGUUCUCCCCACUCUUGAUUUGUUGGCACCCAAGAAAUCAAACAUUUUUCCCUACAUCAAUUGUUUGCAUUCAUAUAAUGACCUUCGCAUCAUCUAACUUAUGGGAGAUUGAGCUUCUUCUUUGGUUCUCUCAGGUAUGAGUCUCUUGUAAUUUUUCUUCCAUUAAUUAGUGGAAAAACAUUUAUCAUCUUUGUCCGUGGAUGCAUUCAUAUAUAUGACCAACCACAUAUAUU